GCAAGUCGAGGGGCAUCAUGAGGUAGCAAUACCUUGAUGGCGACCGGCGCACGGGUGAGUAACGCGUAUGCAACCUGCCCGAUACCGGGGUAUAGCCCAUGGAAACGUGGAUUAACACCCCAUAGUACUUUUAUCCUGCAUGGGAUGUGAGUUAAAUGUUUAAGGUAUCGGAUGGGCAUGCGUCCUAUUAGUUAGUUGGCGGGGUAACAGCCCACCAAGACGAUGAUAGGUAGGGGUUCUGAGAGGAAGGUCCCCCACAUUGGAACUGAGACACGGUCCAAACUCCUACGGGAGGCAGCAGUGAGGAAUAUUGGUCAAUGGACGAGAGUCUGAACCAGCCAAGUCGCGUGAGGGAAGACUGCCCUAUGGGUUGUAAACCUCUUUUAUAAGGGAAGAAUAAGUUCUACGUGUAGAAUGAUGCCUGUACCUUAUGAAUAAGCAUCGGCUAACUCCGUGCCAGCAGCCGCGGUAAUACGGAGGAUGCGAGCGUUAUCCGGAUUUAUUGGGUUUAAAGGGUGCGUAGGCGGUUUAUUAAGUUAGUGGUUAAAUAUUUGAGCUAAACUCAAUUGUGCCAUUAAUACUGGUAAACUGGAGUACAGACGAGGUAGGCGGAAUAAGUUAAGUAGCGGUGAAAUGCAUAGAUAUAACUUAGAACUCCGAUAGCGAAGGCAGCUUACCAGACUGUAACUGACG
rnacentral:rRNA from 1 species